ensembl:lncRNA
GGAGUAUUACAUUUAAUCAUCAAGAAUUGGAAUAUAUCAAUGCACUCUCACCCCCAUUAAGUUUAAAGUAAAGUGUGUGUGUGUGUAUGUGUGUGUGUUAUUUUUAUAUUCAAGCAGUUUUACAUUAUUUUUAAAUCGGAAAUUUUUUUCUCUUUGCAACAGGGUUUUUUUCUUAAAAUGUAGCCUUUAUGAUAUAUUCUAAAUGUUUUGCAAUCAAAUUUUCAUCUCAUUUUAUAUUUUUUAACUGAAAAUGCAUUAAAACUCCCCUUUUUGCUCACACCUGAUCACCAUCCACAGUGGAAAACAGUACUCCCGUGCCCAAACCCCACAUUCAGCACUGAGACCCGGAAAUGUUCCUGCUGCUUCAUCACACCAAGCAACAUUUGGUGGGGGGGGUCAUCUAUUCCCAGUUUGAAUUCCGAGUUUUGGAAUCCUACUCUACAUUUUUUAGAUUAACAGAUGUUUUGUGGUAUUUUAUGUUCCAAGAAGCAUCACUGCAAAGAUUGAUCUAUAGAUGAGUAAUGAUCAGUGAAAAGCUGACACAGAGCACAAGGUAUAAUAACUUUUAUGGUUAGGAAUCUGAUAUGCUGCCAGCAGAGUUUCUUCAAUUCACACCUCCGUUUCCUUAUUGCCUUGAUGCUUGGAUAUGGCGCAGGGAAAAUGAGAGUGAGACCGCAGAUGAAAGUCUUUUAUAACAAAAAGAGGAAAUCUUAUUGAUGAGCUGUUUCAAUCACUUAUUUUGAUAGAUGAAAAAACUAAGGCCAGUGGAAGUGAAGUGACUGGCAAAGUCUCAGAGAAAGAGAAUGGCAACUAAAAAGCUCAUAUGGAAAGUAAAGCCACAGAGUGGGUUGGGUAAUCUCAGGAGUGUAGUCUGGCGGACACAUGAAGUAGAGCAUGCAUGAAAUGUUCACAGCUACAGACAUGCUCAGAUGCACUCUCUCUUCCUUCAGUGGCAAAGGUGACCCUGAAAGAGCUUCUAACCACACAGGUGCUUUACCUUCACUUGCUCUCUCCUCUUGGCACUGGGACGUGGAGAGGAAGAGUUAGUCCCUCAAAUGAUAUUGUGACAACUACACUACAUGAAGGCCUGGGGAAGUCUAAGAGAACAAACGGCAGUGAAUACAGAACAUAUUUCAUUUUAGCUGUGAGUAACUUCCAUUGUGAAUUAAGAAUUCAUUCAAAACACAUCUGGUUUAAGGAUUUCCUUUAUCAGUAAAAAUGACAACUUCUAAUCUUAUCAGAGGUGAAGACAUAGUGAUUGUACUUUUUAGAGAUAUACAGAUUCUUAGAUUUCAUAUAAGUACAAAAGGUUUCAAAUGUAGAGGAAAAAGUAAGCCUUGUAGUUAUUGAAAUAAUGAAAAAUUCCACAUACAUAGGAAUACCAGGGGUUGUCCCUUCUCUCUCCAGUUUUCACUCAGCUUGGUUUAGGUAUUUCUGAACACUCUGGAGUUAAAAGUGCAAAAUGAAGAGAGGUAAAGAGGGGCAACAAAGUUCUUAUUUGACUACUACUGCCAAAAACUUAACACUAAGUUUCUUAGACCUGGCUAAUAUCUAAAGAUUCCUUUCUCUCAAAGGGGACUUUCAUGGUGGAUCAGUUAACUUUUUCUGUGAGCG